rnacentral:rRNA from 1 species
GUUGUAUAGUCAAGUAAUUAAGUGCAUGUGGUGGAUGCCUUGGCAGUCAGAGGCGAUGAAAGACGUGAUAGCCUGCGAAAAGCUCCGGGGAGGCGGCAAAUAUCCUUUGAUCCGGAGAUGUCUGAAUGGGGGAACCCACCUACUUUAAGGUAGGUAUUGCAACAUGAAUACAUAGUGUUGCAAGGCGAACGAGGGGAAGUGAAACAUCUCAGUACCCUUAGGAAAAGAAAUCAAUUGAGAUUCCCUCAGUAGCGGCGAGCGAACGGGGAUCAGCCCAUUAAGUUAUGUGUGUUUUAGUGGAACGCUCUGGGAAGUGCGAACGUAGAGGGUGAUAUUCCCGUACACGAAAGGGCACACAUAAUGAUGACGAGUAGGGCGAGGCACGUGAAACCUUGUCUGAAUAUGGGGGGACCAUCCUCCAAGGCUAAAUACUCCUGACUGACCGAUAGUGAACCAGUACCGUGAGGGAAAGGCGAAAAGAACCCCUGUGAGGGGAGUGAAAUAGAUCCUGAAACCGCAUGCAUACAAGCAGUGGGAGCACCUUCGUGGUGUGACUGCGUACCUUUUGUAUAAUGGGUCAGCGACUUAUAUUCAGUAGCGAGGUUAACCGUAUAGGGGAGCCGUAGAGAAAUCGAGUCUUAAUAGGGCGUUUAGUUGCUGGGUAUAGACCCGAAACCAGGCGAUCUAUCCAUGAGCAGGUUGAAGGUUGGGUAACACUAACUGGAGGACCGAACCCACUGUCGUUGAAAAGCCAGGGGAUGACUUGUGGAUAGGGGUGAAAGGCUAAUCAAGCCUGGUGAUAGCUGGUUCUCCCCGAAAGCUAUUUAGGUAGCGCCUCGGACGAAUACCAUAGGGGGUAGAGCACUGUUUCGGCUAGGGGGUCAUCCCGACUUACCAAACCGAUGCAAACUCCGAAUACCUAUGAGUACUAUCCGGGAGACAGACUGCGGGUGCUAACGUCCGUAGUCAAGAGGAAAACAAUCCAGACCGCCAGCUAAGGCCCCAAAAUCAUAGUUAAGUGGGAAACGAUGUGGGAAGGCAUAGACAGCUAGGAGGUUGGCUUAGAAGCAGCCACCCUUUAAAGAAAGCGUAAUAGCUCACUAGUCGAGUCGGCCUGCGCGGAAGAUGUAACGGGGCUAAAACUAUGUGCCGAAGCUGCGGAUNNNNNAUGCUGGAGGUAUCAGAAGUGCGAAUGCUGACGUGAGUAACGACAAAACGGGUGAAAAACCCGUUCGCCGAAAGACCAAGGGUUCCAGUCCAACGUUAAUCGGGGCUGGGUGAGUCGACCCCUAAGGCGAGGCCGAAAGGCGUAGUCGAUGGGAAAAUGGUUAAUAUUCCAUUACUUCUGUGUAAUGCGAUGAGAGGACGGAGAAGGCUAAAUCAGCCUGGCGUUGGUUGUCCAGGUGAAAGGAUGUAGGCAUGUAUCUUAGGCAAAUCCGGGGUACUCUAUGCUGAGAUCUGAUAGCAAGCUGUACUUGUACAGCGAAGUGGUUGAUGCCAUGCUUCCAGGAAAAGUCUCUAAGCUUCAGUUACACAGGAAUCGUACCCGAAACCGACACAGGUGGUCAGGUCGAGUAGACCAAGGCGCUUGAGAGAACUCUGCUGAAGGAACUAGGCAAAAUGGUACCGUAACUUCGGGAGAAGGUACGCUGUUGUUGGUGAUGGAACUCGCUUCCUGAGCUGACGACAGCCGCAGAAACCAGGCCGCUGCAACUGUUUAUUAAAAACAUAGCACUCUGCAAACACGAAAGUGGACGUAUAGGGUGUGAUGCCUGCCCGGUGCUGGAAGGUUAAUUGAUGGGGUUAGCGUAAGCGAAGCUCUUGAUCGAAGCCCCAGUAAACGGCGGCCGUAACUAUAACGGUCCUAAGGUAGCGAAAUUCCUUGUCGGGUAAGUUCCGACCUGCACGAAUGGCAUAAUGAUGGCGGCGCUGUCUCCAGCAGAGGCUCAGUGAAAUCGAAAUCGCUGUGAAGAUGCAGUGUACCCGCGGCUAGACGGAAAGACCCCGUGAACCUUUACUGCAGCUUGACACUGAACUUUGACCUUACUUGUGUAGGAUAGGUGGGAGGCUUUGAAGCUGGAACGCUAGUUCCAGUGGAGCCGUCCUUGAAAUACCACCCUGGUAAUGUUGAGGUUCUAACUCUGUCCCGUGAUCCGGGACGAGGACCGUGUCUGGUGGGUAGUUUGACUGGGGCGGUCUCCUCCUAAAGAGUAACGGAGGAGUACGAAGGUGCGCUCAGCGUGGUCGGAAAUCACGCGUAGAGUAUAAAGGCAAAAGCGCGCUUAACUGCGAGACCCACAAGUCGAGCAGGUACGAAAGUAGGUCUUAGUGAUCCGGUGGUUCUGUAUGGAAGGGCCAUCGCUCAACGGAUAAAAGGUACUCUGGGGAUAACAGGCUGAUACCGCCCAAGAGUUCAUAUCGACGGCGGUGUUUGGCACCUCGAUGUCGGCUCAUCUCAUCCUGGGGCUGAAGCAGGUCCCAAGGGUAUGGCUGUUCGCCAUUUAAAGAGGUACGCGAGCUGGGUUUAGAACGUCGUGAGACAGUUCGGUCCCUAUCUACCGUGGGCGCUGGAAAUUUGAGAGGAUCUGCUCCUAGUACGAGAGGACCAGAGUGGACGAACCUCUGGUGUACCGGUUGUGACGCCAGUCGCAUCGCCGGGUAGCUAUGUUCGGAAGGGAUAACCGCUGAAAGCAUCUAAGCGGGAAGCCUACCUCAAGAUAAGAUUUCCCUAGGACUUUAUGUCCUCUAAAGAGCCGUUCGAGACUAGGACGUUGAUAGGUUGGAUGUGGAAGCAUAGUGAUAUGUGAAGCUGACCAAUACUAAUUGCUCGUGAGGCUUGACUAUACAACACCCAAGCAGUUG